rnacentral:rRNA from 1 species
UGGGGAAUUUUGCACAAUGGGGGAAACCCUGAUGCAGCGACGCCGCGUGAUUUAGAAGGCCUUCGGGUUGUAAAAAUCUUUUCUAUGGGAAGAAAAUGACAGUACCAUAGGAAUAAGGACCGGCUAAUUACGUGCCAGCAGCCGCGGGAAUACGUAAGGUCCGAGCGUUGUCCGGAAUCAUUGGGCGUAAAGGGUACGUAGGCGGGUAAGCAAGUUAGAAGUGAAAUCCUAUAGCUCAACUAUAGUAAGCUUUUAAAACUGCUCAUCUUGAGGUAUGGAAGGGAAAGUGGAAUUCCUAGUGUAGCGGUGAAAUGCGCAGAUAUUAGGAGGAAUACCGGUGGCGAAGGCGACUUUCUGGCCAUAACCUGACGCUGAGGUACGAAAGCGUGGGUAGCAAACAGG